CUUGCAGGUGUUCACCCAGGCACAAUGCUGCUGCAACACUUCCAAGCCCCAGCUCUCUGACUCAGGUUCCCCAGGCGGAGCUUUCAGCGUGACAGGGCUGUGAUAAUUUGCCAGCAAAGCCUGGGGUCUUUCCCUGCUACAGUCACAUGGAAAAGAGCCUCCAGCCCCCAUGUCUCCAAUGCCCUCCACGAAGUUUGGACCCUGCUAUGAAGGCUGUUUGCCCAAGAAUACCUCAAUUUCAAUGAAAAGACAGCAGAGGAUUGUUGACAAGACUCCUGACCAUGGGGACCUUAUUACCAGAGCUGGAGAAACCAGUGAGCACCUCGGCACGGGCAGCUCUGCUUGCUCCGAAUGUGGCAAUCAGUAGGUGACAGCUUGCUGCGAUCUGUGGGGGUGGCAGACAUGUCACGCUGGCACAAAGUGGAGGAUAUCAGAAGAGUGAUAAUACGCGUCUCAGAAACUUGGAGAGAAACUCUUUUCCUUGGUGCUGUCAUCACUGAAAAAAGAAACUGUGUUCAUGCAAAUAACUCAGUGUGUGUGGCCUCAAAGAGGAAGCACAGCAGCUGCUGCUGGUGAACGGUGAUUUCAUCUUGCAGAGCCCUUCCACUCCUGUGCCUGGCGUGGCCUACUGUGCCCAUUAUUUGGCUUAAAAUAUCUGCUGUGUUCGGGAAGCUGCAUAAUGAAUUUCCCUUCAAGGCUGUAAGAAUGUUGCAGUGUAUUUUGCCAAAACCAGUGUGGAAACUGCAGAAAGGAGAAGUGAAAAUGGCUGAAGAUUGAACGUGGCACAACAGUAGGGCUGCUCACAAGUGGAAUCGUCUACAUGCUGCCAUGGAAACACUAGCCUUGGUCCCCAGCACAGUUCGAAGCCAUCUGCAAGGGAACAAUUGUUGGCCUGUUUGUAUAAAAUCAUCCGGGGUGGUGCCGGGUGGCGUGCGGCUGGCCAAGGGGAAGCCACACUGAGACACGACAGGACGUGCUUGUCACACUGAAUAAUGGGAUGUUCAAAUGCCCGCAGACAGGAUCCACAACGUCCUGUCUGGAGAAGAGCUGAUGUGCAAAACCAGUGUGAAUCAAAUUGGUUUGAAUGAGUUGGAGUGAGCGUUUGAUUCCCAGGGGCUCCAGCACUUUGCGUGCGAUGGUUAUGGGCGUUCACGCUGCCAGCUUUUCGGUUUGGGUGAACACGGGGACCUCCAUGCAAGCAGAGGUCUGUGUGUGCAAAGAAAAGCCUUCUGAGAGGCAACAGCGUGGGAGCCCCCAGCAGGCUGCUGCUCCUGUGGAGCUGAAUUUCAAUUGCUCCGGGGUGGGAAAGGGAGCCAGGUUAACUUUCUGCAUAUGAACAGCUCGACUGAACACACCAGGCUUAUGAAGCUCUUGGCAUGAAGCAUGCGCAGAAGACUGACCAUCAGCCAGCAUUUGCCAAAACUGCUGGGGAAGCAGCUCCUGUCUUUACUCAACCAUGCAUUGGGCUUCAAAUCUGUGAAGAGCAGGUUGUGUUCCCAGGCAGUUGCCCUACCCGAAAAGAGAUGGACAUGAAAAAGAAAAGUACAUGAGAAAUGGCAGAGAAUAACCUGAUCCACACUAACUUCCUCCCUUGCUUUGGCAGGACUGCUAAGCCCAGGAUUGCUCUGCUGGUUUAUGUCCUAAAUGUGCUGGGUACGCGCUCUGAUGUCAUGAGUGUGUGUCGCUGAGCUCUCACGCUGAUGCCACAAGGAAACCCAGCAGAGAGCCCUGCCAGAGGAAGGUGUCCUUUCUCUGCUAGGAAUGGGCAAGGGUGCAACCUGCUGGCUGCCAGCGGAGGCCAGCUCUGCCCUCCACCCUUCAGAGGUCCUUCAGCGCCAAGAAUUUGUUUCUUCUUACUUGCGAUCCACCCUGAAGGCCAGCACAGGCAACGCAGAGGCUCAGGACUUUGCCUGAAGAGUCCACGGAGGAGCUGAUUUCUCUUUGUUGGCAGAAAGAGGAGCUCAAACAGCCUCGUAGCGCGUGUGCGUUGAACCUGCCGAGCUGAGCUUGCACGCCCGCAGUCCUUCCCCCACCACCCCAGCAGCCGAGCGCAGCCCUGCCUGAGCCCUGCCUGAGCCCUGCCCGACACAGCUGGCAGUCGUUCAUUCGAGCUAGCUUGUAAAUCCUCUUCAUUUCUGCUUGUCCCCUGCUUUGAGCUCAUUUUCCUCUGAGAUCCCCAUGACUGCACUUUACGUUUGUGAACGUUCAGGGGAAAAGAUUUUGAAGCUUCUAGGCUGAGAUGCCAGAAUAGACUCGCUUUCUGGGAGAAUUUGCUGUGGUUAACCUGACUACAAACAUCUCAUUCAGCCAAGCAAAGAGGAGAAAAAUUACUUGGCUUUAAUCUAGUUCAUCUUCAAAAAUACUUAAUAAAAGAGGGAAAAUAAAUUCAGGGGGGCUCGUGGGCAUCCUGAGAGCAGAAAAAGAGGUAAAAUUAAUCCUAUCAAUAAUCCAUGAUGAAUGAUUCACUCAGCUCUUUUAUUCAUGGUUGCAUAUAGUUAUCCUUAUUCACGCGGAGAUGCAGUACUCAUGGAAAUAUAUACAGACUCAUAUGCAUAUAAAUUACGAAGCCCAGCGAGGGCUCCUACGCAGCCAGGGUUACAGCUCAGCGUAGCUCGCACAUCGUACACGGCUGCACGGACCUCACUCCUGCUGGGCUGAGCACAGGUCGCUGAGCAGCCGCCGGGCUCUUUGGAGCUUCAGGAGGUUUCUGCACAGCCACGUGCCAGGGCUUGGCUCCUUGCUGCUUGCAUUUUCCCAGCAAGUUCAUCCAUGUGCUCUAGCAGGGAUGAGGAAGGGAAGGGGUCUGUGUCACCCUCCCUUCUGGCAGGGGUCACUUAUGGGAAGAAGGGCUAUAAAGCCAGCAUGGCCCAGUGUCCAGCACGCUCCACGCUGCCUGGUGGGAGAGGUGACGCCAGUGUCCCCAGCCCUCAGCUGCCUCCACACAGCUCCCCUGCACUGAGGCUUCCCUCUCUUUUGC